AUGGUGGAGGCGCGGCAUACGGCUCAGUAACACGUGGCUAACCUACCCUUGGGACGGAGACAACCCCGGGAAACUGGGGCUAAUCCCCGAUGUGUGAGGAGGCCUGAAAUGGUUCUUCACAGAAAGGGCGUUGAAACCAUGCUUUUCAGCGUUGCCCAAGGAUGGGGCCGCGGCCGAUCAGGUUGUUGGUGGGGUAACGGCUCACCAAGCCUUUGACCGGUACGGGCCGUGAGAGCGGGAGCCCGGAGAUGGGCACUGAGAUAAGGGCCUAGGCCCUACGGGGUGCAGCAGGCGCGAAAACUCCGCAAUACGCGAAAGCGUGACGGGGCUAUCCCGAGUGCCGUCCGCUGAGGAUGGCUUUUUCACGGUGUAAGGAGCCGUGGGAAUAAGGAGAGGGCAAGCCUGGUGUCAGCCGCCGCGGUAAUACCAGCUCUCCGAGUGGUAGGGACGAUUAUUGGGCUUAAAGCGUCCGUAGCCGGCUUGGUAAGUCUCUCGUCAAAUCCAGCGACCUAAUCGUUGGACUGCGGGAGAUACUGUCGGGCUAGGAGGCGGGAGAAGCCGAUGGUAUUCCCGGGGUAGGGGUGAAAUCCUAUAAUCCCUGGAGGACCACCAGUGGCGAAGGCGAUCGGCUAGAACGCGCUCGACGGUGAUGGACGAAAGCUGGGGGAGCGAACCGGAUUAGAUACCCGGGUAGUCCA
rnacentral:rRNA from 1 species